AAAAAAUGGUCAUGACUGAUA
rnacentral:miRNA from 1 species